CCCAGACUCCUACGGGAGGCAGCAGUGGGGGAUAUUGCACAAUGGGGGGAACCCUGAUGCAGCGACGCCACGUGGGUGAAGGAGUAUUUCGGUAUGUAAAGCCCUAUCGGCAGGGAAGAAGCAAGACGGUACCUGACUAAGAAGCCCCGGCUAACUACGUGCCAGCAGCCGCGGUAAUACGUAGGGGGCAAGCGUUAUCCGGAUUUACUGGGUGUAAAGGGGGCGCAGACGGCGAUGCAAGCCAGGAGUGAAAGCCCGGGGCCCAACCCCGGGACUGCUCUUGGAACUGCGUGGCUGGAGUGCAGGAGGGGCAGGCGGAAUUCCUGGUGUAGCGGUGAAAUGCGUAGAUAUUAGGAGGAACACCAGUGGCGAAGGCGGCUUACUGGACUGUAACUGACGUUGAGGCUCGAAAGCGUGGGGAGCAAACAGGAUUAGAUCCCCGAGUA
rnacentral:rRNA from 1 species